GUAAAUAUAAUUUAACUAAAAUAUUAGAUUGUGGAUCUAAACAUAGAAACUUAUCCCUUCUUAUUUACC
rnacentral:tRNA from 1 species